rnacentral:tRNA from 1 species
GCUCUUAUCGUUUAAUGGUUUAGGACAAUGCUUUUUCGUAGCAUAAAUGUGGGUUCGAAUCCCACUAGGAGUA